UUGAUUUUUCAUGUUUGCUCGGACGGGCACGGUAAGACGGUUCGUGGUUGGGCCUCUCGCGGGGGCUCGCUGGCGUGAGCCGGCGGCCCGGGGGGCGCCCCGCGAAAGCAACGAGGUAGGUAGGCACGGGUGGGAGGUCUACCCCGGGGGGCAUGAACUCGGUAAUGAUCCUUCCGCAGGUUCACCUACGGAAA
rnacentral:misc_RNA from 1 species